rnacentral:pre_miRNA from 1 species
UUUGUACUCCCUCCGUCCCAAAAUUCUUGUCUUAAAUUUGUCUAAAUACAUAUGUAUCUAGUUACAUUUUAGUGUUAGAUACUUCCGUAUCUAAACAAAUGUAAGACAAGAAUUUUGGGACGAAGGGAGUACUAC